rnacentral:rRNA from 1 species
AGUGAACGCUGGCGGUAGGCCUAACACAUGCAGGUCGAACGGCAGCACAGGAGAGCUUGCUCUCUGGGUGGCGAGUGGCGGACGGGUGAGGAAUACAUCGGAAUCUACUCUGUCGUGGGGGAUAACGUAGGGAAACUUACGCUAAUACCGCAUACGACCUACGGGUGAAAGCAGGGGAUCUUCGGACCUUGCGCGAUUGAAUGAGCCGAUGUCGGAUUAGCUAGUUGGCGGGGUAAAGGCCCACCAAGGCGACGAUCCGUAGCUGGUCUGAGAGGCAGAGGAGGCACACUGGAACUGAGACACGGUCCAGACUCCUACGGGAGGCAGCAGUGGGGAAUAUUGGACACUGGGCGCAAGCCUGAGCCAGCCAUACCGCGUGGGGGAAGAAGGCCUGCGGGUUGUAAAGCCCUUUUGUUGGGAAAGAAAGCCAGCUGGCUAAUACCCGGUUGGGAUGACGGUACCCAAAGAAUAAGCACCGGCUAACUUCGUGCCAGCCGCCGCCGUAA